UGCUUAUCCCUUCCUUCCGAGGUUCUUACUCUUUUACUGUUCAAUUAUUUCCCUUCUCCAUGCUUUCUAUUCUGCAAUUGUUUUAAUACAAUGCAUAUGCAUGAUAACUGAUAAGAUGCAUGAUAGAAGAAAGAAAAAGAAAAGUGAAUAUAAAUAAUCAUUAAAACUGUGCAAUUUCUGUUUUCAUUUUCUAUGUAAAAAGUUUAGUUGAGUUACAUUUCAGAAAUAAAUACUGCUAUACAAACACCCAAUAAACAAAAAACAUCUAAAACAUUCUUAAUGAUGUGAUUCAUGAUACACUAUUUUAUUACAUAGUAAAAACUGAACAAAGAAAAAUCUUUUUUAGUGAAAGUUAAAUGGAAGGUUGUUGUGAUUUAAAAGGUGUGAAUAUACUUUUUCUAGGUAGCUGAUUUGAUGACAAUCUGCAUCAAAUUAUAAUUAGAAACAAAAAUAACCUUUUGCUCAAAUGUGAAUUCUAAUUAUAAAUAAAGCAAUUUUCACUGAUAUAUUGUAGUAUGCUAAGGAUGUAUUUUAGUUUGUGAAAGUAACAUUUUUAGAAUUUAAGGUUUAGGAUUUACCAUAAAAACUCAUCCUUUUCAUUAACAAAAUUCUUACUCUAUCUGAAAUUGAAACUUAUGAGCAUAACAUUUACCUACUGUACCAAAUUUUGUUAGUAUUUCUCUUUUCAUUCCACUGAUGCAAUAAAUGUGUACUGAAGGAGAAACCUCAUAGUUGAUAAUUAUCUGGCUUGGAUUUCUCUCUCUCCCUGAUUGAGCAGAUGUCUUUGUUGAAGGACCCUGUGAGUGGCAGCCUAAUUUCCUGAUCACAGUACAGUGGCCCACAUGAGUGAUUGCUGAAAAUGGCCUGUUUCUGGUUUAGAUUUUGCUCAUUGAAAAAUAGUACCUUUUCCUUAUCUACAAAAUUGAUCCCUCUGUCCGUACCCUAUACUCACAAUUCUUCCACCAUCAUCUCUGUGACCAUACCCUCACACCAUUUCUUGGCCUUACACUCAACAAAUCCAAUGUUAACUUAUCAUAAUCAUAAGCCUCUCAUAUGCAAUACUUUUUUAUCAUCACUUCACUCUCUUUCAAAGCUCAC
rnacentral:lncRNA from 1 species